rnacentral:lncRNA from 1 species
GAAAGGGAAAUUUAGUUUUCUACAAUGGAGUGCCACUGGCUAUAUUACACACAGUUCGGGUAGCCCACAUGCUUAGGAGUACUUGGCCAACACAAAACUGACUCCGUGUGUGUGUGUGUGUGUGUGUGUGUGUGUGUGUGUGAUACUUUUCAUGUUGUUUUGGUUUGGUUUUGUAUAAUUUUGUCUUGAUUUGUUGUGUUUGUUGUAUUUGUUUUGAUUUUCAUUCUGAGACACUGAUAGAAAACAAUGUGAAGUUGGGUGGGUAAGGACGUAGGGAGACUAUAAAAGGAGUAGACAGUUAGGAGAGUAUAAUAAAAAGCAUAUUAUAUAAAAAUAAGAAAAAGAAAGAAAAUUACUAUAGAAUAUCAGGCAUUUUGGACCUUGCAACUUGCAUCAGGACAAACAUCAGAGUUAGAGACAUAGACUUAGGGGUAAUUAUUAUAGAUUAAAUAAUGGAAAAUAUGGACCCAAGUAAAAUAACAGGAUUAGAGUAUAUAUUCUGAAAGCAGAACAGAAACAUGGCAUAUAUCAAGGGGAAAGACAUACUUUAUAGAAUUGGCAGAAAAUCAGAAGCAGGCAAGAAGUAGUAAUUGUACUAGGGAAAGAUCAAAAUAUAAUGGUAGUGAGGGAGUAAAAGAAUAACU